UCAUUCGGCUGCUCCUCCAUUGCGCUCUCUCUCCCACUCCCCACACCCACGACUCGACGAGACCCUCUUGCCUCUCCUCACUCCGUUCGGCGUCCACCUCGGCUCUUCCUCUGUCUUCAUCAACCGCGGUCCGGCUCGUCCGCAGCGGAGGUGGGCUUCGCUUCAAGGCUUCAAGCGACAUCCUCGGUCUUCGUCUUCGUUCGGGCUCCGCACGCGCACCCUCUUGAGCUCGCUGCCUCGGCUCUUCCUCCUCUCGUCUUUCCACAAGAUCGGCGCCGCUUCUCGCCAGACGUGGUUCCUCUCUAGUCCUCGCACUGUAGAAGAGAUCUUCAAGGGCUACAGCGCCCGACGCACUGCCCUCAUCCGCGCCCUCACCUAUGGUACCGAUCGUUGGGCCGUCGCCCCCCUCUUUGGAUCUUCACAUGCAUGUGUUUUUUCUCUUUUUUUCCUGGGUCCGAGUUCCAGUGUGUGCGCCGGCGGUGUUUCUUUUUAGUUCUUUGUUUCUGGCUUGACGUCGUUGUUGGUGUUGGGGUGAAUUUGUUUCAGAUGUGGAUGAAUUCUACUCGCUCUGCGAUCCAGGUGAGGCUCCAUGUACUUUGGGUUUCUUGUUCGUUGUUGUUUUUCCUUCGAAUUAAAGGGCAAAUGCAAGAUUGCGCCUUUUAGAGAAAAAGGUUUUGACUUUAGCUUGUGCUGCAAUUUUGGAGAAGCGGGAUGAGGUAUGUGGGAAAUGGGUAACUGCUGUUAGGUGAUUUUUCUAUGAAACUAUGGUCAAUUUGAUUGGGGAAGUGGCUGUGGUGGGUUGAUAAGAAAGGGGCUAAGUGUGCUUUAGGUUAUUGUUGGUUCUUUUUAUUCAUGAUCUGAAAGGAAAUUCUUUAUUUUUUGCUUUGAUAUCUUAAUGGGUAUUUCAGUUGUGAUUACGGACUCCAAAUGUUAAAGCUCCUUUUCUAGAGAUGGAAUGAAACGCAAGGACUGGCUGUCUUUGGUGGCUGUGCAUAAUGACUGUUGGUUGCUCUCUGUGGCCUUCUACUUUGGUGCUCGACUUAACCGCAAUGAGAGUUGACUGGUGGAAGAAUUGGGGACCGGCUUAUGGCUGAAGCAGAAACAAAUCUUGCAAUAAAUGUGCUUCUGGGGUUAUCAGAGUCGUUUGAAGUUCAAGGAACAGGAGAACUCCAAUUAGGUUUGUUCCCAAUUAUUUUUUAAUGAUUUCUUUUCAACCUUCUAGCUUUGGAAUAUUAUUUUCAGAUAGUGUUCAGAAAUGUUUGGACAUAUGCAACUGUGGAUUAUGAUUCUUGGGCAAAACUAAUUUGAAAGAUCCAGUUAAUCUUUCUUUUUUCUGUUUA